GAGAAACUCUGAAAAGACCUGAGUGUGAUGGGAAAACAGCAAUGGCCUGGGAAAGUAAAAAAAAUUUUUAACUGAGAAAGUGGUAGCAAACUUAAGACCCGCUUCAGGUGCAGCUGAUUACCAAAGCUCUGUGAGAUCAGCCUUGGACUUUUAGUCAAAGGAGGAUCCCACACAGAAGAGCAAUGGCUUCUGGACUUCCACAGGUCCUAAAUAUCCUCCAUGGAAUCGUUUUGAGACUGCUUCUGUUCAAGAUUUCAGGAGGCGUCUGAGGUUUCUGUGCCUCUGCAGAGAUUGAGCCCCACUGCAUGAUAAGGACAGAGGUGGAGUGGGCCCAGCAACCAGCCUUUGCUGUCUCUCAAAAGCCAGACAGAUGAGGACACUGAGACUUCGCUGAAGACACUUGAUGAAGGCAUCAGGCAAGCAGCCCAGUGUGACUGGAGAGGAGGAGGGCUGGGGAAGGUCUUUUUCACAAGAAAUGCUACAUAAGUCCUCUUCAUGAAAACUCUGACAGCUUAUGUAAAUCAACAGAAAUGAAAUUAAAGAAUUCUGAAUACCCAA